ACAAUGGCUAAAAUAGGUUAACUCAAGGGUGGUUGGCACGCUCCCAAAAGGGGGUGGUGCUAAUGACAGUUGCAGAAGGAUUAAUGCUAAUGAUUAGUUUCGGAGCGUUAAUAGUUGCGAUUAUGUCAGAUAAAAACCAUAAAUAAAAUCCACCCUUGAGUUCGCGGCUCAUUAAUAGGGUGGAAUAUCACUAAUCGGGCCAGCCCCCUUGUAGGGAACCAAGCUAUUGUAUGACUAAAGGUGUUAGCGCACCUUUG
rfam:Bacilli bacterium VT-13-104 contig003, whole genome shotgun sequence.